rnacentral:rRNA from 1 species
UACGAAGGGGGCUAGCGUUGCUCGGAAUCACUGGGCGUAAAGGGUGCGUAGGCGGGUCUUUAAGUCAGGGGUGAAAUCCUGGAGCUCAACUCCAGAACUGCCUUUGAUACUGAAGAUCUUGAGUUCGGGAGAGGUGAGUGGAACUGCGAGUGUAGAGGUGAAAUUCGUAGAUAUUCGCAAGAACACCAGUGGCGAAGGCGGCUCACUGGCCCGAUACUGACGCUGAGACGCGAAAGCUAGGGUAGCAAACGGG